CCUACGGGUGGCAGCAGUGGGGAAUAUUGCACAAUGGGGGAAACCCUGAUGCAGCGACGCCGCGUGAGUGAAGAAGUAAUUCGUUAUGUAAAGCUCUAUCAGCAGGGAAGAAAAUGACGGUACCUGACUAAGAAGCCCCGGCUAACUACGUGCCAGCAGCCGCGGUAAUACGUAGGGGGCAAGCGUUAUCCGGAUUUACUGGGUGUAAAGGGAGCGUAGACGGGUGUGCAAGUCUGGAGUGAAAGGCGGGGGCUCAACCCCGGGACUGCUCUGGAAACUGUACGGCUGGAGUGCAGGAGAGGUGGGCGGAAUUCGUGGUGUAGCGGUGAAAUGCUUAGAUAUUACGAAGAACUCCGAUGGCGAAGGCAGUUCACUGGACUGCAAAUGACACUGAGGCUCGAAAGCGUGGGUAGCAAACAGGAUUAGAUACCCUAGUAGUC
rnacentral:rRNA from 1 species